rnacentral:misc_RNA from 1 species
UACGUAGGGGGCAGGCGUUGUCCGGAAUUAUUGGGCGUAAAGCGCGCGCAGGCGGUCUCGUAAGUCUGAUGUGAAAGCACACGGCUCAACCGUGGAGGGUCAUUGGAAACUGGAGGACUUGAGUGCAGAAGAGGAAAGUGGAAUUCCAUGUGUAGCGGUGAAAUGCGUAGAGAUGUGGAGGAACACCAGUGGCGAAGGCGACUUUCUGGUCUGUAACUGACACUGAGGCGCGAAAGCGUGGGUAGCAAACAGG